AUAACCCUUGUGUGUGUUUGUUCAACUGGUGGACAAAGGCAAGGGACAUAGUUGCAAAGAUAAGUCUUCCAUAACCUCCAACUCAUUAUUCAGUAUGAGUUUUUGUACAUAUAAGAGAAUAUG